UACGGAGGAUGCGAGCGUUAUCCGGAUUUAUUGGGUUUAAAGGGUGCGCAGGCGGCGUGUCAAGUCAGCGGUAAAAUGUCGGGGCUCAACCCCGGCCGGCCGUUGAAACUGGCGUGCUCGAGUAGGAGAGAAGUAUGCGGAAUUCGUGGUGUAGCGGUGAAAUGCAUAGAUAUCACGAAGAACCCCGAUUGCGAAGGCAGCAUACCGGCUCCACACUGACGCUGAGGCACGAAAGCGUGGGUAUCGAACAGG
rnacentral:rRNA from 1 species